rnacentral:rRNA from 1 species
AAUGAACGUUGGCGGCAUGGAUUAGGCAUGCAAGUCGAGCGAGAAGAGUUUUGAAGCUUGCUUUAGAACUCGGACAGCGGCGAAAGGGACAGUAACGCGUAGUUAUGUGCCCUAGGGUCCGGAAUAGCCACGGGAAACUGUGGGUAAUGCCGGAUGAUAUCCCCGGAUCAAAGGUGUGAUUCCGCCCUAGGAGCAGACUGCGUCCUGCUAGCUAGUUGGUGGGGUAAUGGCCUACCAAGGCAACGAUGGGUAGCGGGUGUGAGAGCAUGACCCGUCUCACUGGGACUGAGACACUGCCCAGACACCUACGGGUGGCUGCAGUCGAGAAUCUUCGGCAAUGGGCGAAAGCCUGACCGAGCGAUGCCGCGUGCGGGAUGAAGGCCCUCGGGUUGUAAACCGCUGUCGUAGGGGAGGAAGGUUCCGUGAAGAGCGGAAUUUGACCUAUCCUAGGAGGAAGUACGGGCUAAGUUCGUGCCAGCCGCCGCUGUAA